CUUCAACGAGCCCAACCACAACGGCCGUUCCGGCGCCCGGUCCCGGCCGUAGGUGGCCAGCAGGGCCUGGGCCUC
rnacentral:antisense_RNA from 1 species